AGCACCGCGCACCGAGCACCGCUCCGAGCCCCGGCCCCGCGGAGCGGCCGGACCGCGCGGGGCACGGGCGGGGCCGGCGGGAGCGCACCCAGAGCCGAGCCUGGCCCCGGCCGCUCGCUGCACUGAUGUCCUCCUCGGGAACGGAGCCCUGGGUAUCAGUUCUCCGGAGACUCCUCGGGCAGGGGAGAACCCUUCAUCGAUUUACUCGUCUUCAUGCUUCCUGAAACGAGUCCUGGCAUCCCUUUCUCAUGGCUGCAGAGCAGAAGGGCACAUCCCCAGGAGGUCAGAGAGGAGGAGACAGGAUGUCUACACGUGCACCUCGUGCCAUGCUGAGUGUGAACUGGCUGCUCUCGUUUAACCACUCUGCCCAAGGACCUCUUCACCCAGGACACACUGUGAGGAGUAUGGAGUUACUAAUAAACUGCUUCCUCUGGCCUGUGUUGAAAACCCUGGAGGAGUUCUGUUCAUCUGCACCACCUAGAUUUGAAGAUCAAGGUUUUUACUCAGCCCUGGAAGAUGCAGCCAUCUUCAAAAGGCCUUGAUCUUGCUGCUGCACUCGUGUGGCAGGUGGGAUGACCUCUUGCUCUUUGUGGCUGCCUGUGACAUCCAAGGGGCUGUUUUAGGAUUUACUUCACUUUCCUUGCCUGUUCCUGGGUCACAACAUGAAGAGGUAAAGCAACUCUUGCUGAUCUCCCCACCAUCAGAACGGUUUAGUGUUUUUAUUUGUUUAUUUUUGCUUCCUUGUGAUAUAUAAAGGCAACCUGGAAAAUUAA